rnacentral:sRNA from 1 species
CUGACAGCCCUAGAGAAUGCUGUCCUCUAUUUAUUCACAGAACAGGUGCAGCACAGGAAGUGACAGUGCAAGCAUGACCCUGCCUGCAUGCCUCAGACCUGCUCUGGAGUGUAAGGGGGCAGACUGGCUUUUGUACCCAUUCACAUCUGGCUUCC